CCUACGGGCGGCAGCAGUCGAGAAUCAUUCACAAUGGGGGAAACCCUGAUGGUGCGACGCCGCGUGGGGGAAUGAAGGUCUUCGGAUUGUAAACCCCUGUCAUGGGGGAGCAAAUUAAAAAGAUAGUAUCACAAGAGGAAGAGAAGGCUAACCCUGUGCCAGCAGCCGCGGUAAUACAGAGGUCGCAAGCGUUGUUCGGAAUCACUGGGCGUAAAGCGUGCGGAGGCUGUUUCGUAAGUCGUAUGUGAAUGGCGCGGGCUCAACCCGCGGACGGCACCUGAUACUGCGAGACUAGAGUAAAGGAGGGGGAACCGGAAUUCUCGGUGUAGCAGUGAAAUGCGUAGAUAUCGAGAGGAACACUCGUGGCGAAGGCGGGUUCCUGGACCUUAACUGACGCUGAGGCACGAAGGCGAGGGGAGCGAAAGGGAUUAGAUACCCCUGUAGUC
rnacentral:rRNA from 1 species